CCUACGGGAGGCAGCAGUGGGGAAUUUUGGACAAUGGGCGCAAGCCUGAUCCAGCAAUGCCGCGUGCAGGAUGAAGGCCUUCGGGUUGUAAACUGCUUUUGUACGGAACGAAACGGUGAGCUCUAAUACAGUUUGCUAAUGACGGUACCGUAAGAAUAAGCACCGGCUAACUACGUGCCAGCAGCCGCGGUAAUACGUAGGGUGCGAGCGUUAAUCGGAAUUACUGGGCGUAAAGCGUGCGCAGGCGGUGAUGUAAGACAGAUGUGAAAUCCCCGGGCUCAACCUGGGACCUGCAUUUGUGACUGCAUCGCUAGAGUACGGUAGAGGGGGAUGGAAUUCCGCGUGUAGCAGUGAAAUGCGUAGAUAUGCGGAGGAACACCGAUGGCGAAGGCAAUCCCCUGGACCUGUACUGACGCUCAUGCACGAAAGCGUGGGGAGCAAACAGGAUUAGAUACCCUGGUAGUCCACGCCCUAAACGAUGUCAACUGGUUGUUGGUCUUCACUGACUCAGUAACGAAGCUAACGCGUAGAAGUUCGACCGCCGUCGGGAGGUACGGCCGCCGAGGUUAGUAACGUACGAAAGUAGUAGUUAGUACGGACGUUGAGACGUUGCCGACGGACGACGACGAGGGAGGUAGG
rnacentral:rRNA from 1 species